rnacentral:rRNA from 1 species
CGCAGGGGGCACAUCAAGUCUGCUGUUAAAGGCUGGAGCUUAACUCCGGUAGAGCAGUGGAAACUGGUGUGCUAGAGGGCGACAGGGGUAGAGGGAACUCCCAGUGUAGCGGUGAAAUGCGUAGAGAUUGGGAAGAACACCGGUGGCGAAAGCGCUCUACUGGGUCGCACCUGACCCUCAGGGACGAAAGCUAAGGUAGCGAAAGGGAUUAGAUACCCCUGUAGUCUUAGCCGUAAACGAUGGAUACUAGGCGUGGUUUGUAUCGACCCAAGCCGUGCCGAAGCUAACGCGUUAAGUAUCCCGCCUGGGGAGUACGCACGCAAGUGUGAAACUCAAAGGAAUUGACGGGGGCCCGCACAAGCGGUGGAGGAUGUGGUUUAAUUCGAUGCAACGCGAAGAACCUUACCAGGGCUUGACAUCCCGCGAAUCUCCAGGAAAGUGGAGAGUGCCUUCGGGAGCGCGGAGACAGGUGGUGCAUGGCUGUCGUCAGCUCGUGUCGUGAGAUGUUGGGUUAAGUCCCGCAACGAGCGCAACCCUCGUCCUUAGUUGCCAGCAUUGAGUUGGGCACUCUAGGGAGACUGCCGGUGACAAACCGGAGGAAGGUGAGGAUGACGUCAAGUCAGCAUGCCCCUUAUGCUCUGGGCAACACACGUCCUACAAUGGUCGGGACAAAGGGGAGCGAGCUCGCGAGAGUCAGCGAAUCCCAGCAAACUCGGCCUCAGUUCAGAUGGCAGGCUGCAACUCGCCUGCAUGAAGGAGGAAUCGC